ACUCCUACGGGAGGCAGCAGUGGGGAAUAUUGCACAAUGGGGGAAACCCUGAUGCAGCCAUGCCGCGUGUGUGAAGAAGGCCUUCGGGUUGUAAAGCACUUUCAGUAGGGAGGAAGGUAGUGUAGUUAACACCUGCAUUAUUUGACGUUACCUACAGAAGAAGCACCGGCUAACUCCGUGCCAGCAGCCGCGGUAAUACGGAGGGUGCGAGCGUUAAUCGGAAUUACUGGGCGUAAAGCGCAUGCAGGUGGUUUGUUAAGUCAGAUGUGAAAGCCCGGGGCUCAACCUCGGAAUUGCAUUUGAAACUGGCAGACUAGAGUACUGUAGAGGGGGGUAGAAUUUCAGGUGUAGCGGUGAAAUGCGUAGAGAUCUGAAGGAUACCGGUGGCGAAGGCGGCCCCCUGGACAGAUACUGACACUCAGAUGCGAAAGCGUGGGGAGCAAACAGGAUUAGAUACCCUGGUAGGAUAGCG
rnacentral:rRNA from 1 species